rnacentral:rRNA from 1 species
AUUGAACGCUGGCGGCAUGCCUUACACAUGCAAGUCGAACGGCAGCACGGGAGCAAUCCUGGUGGCGAGUGGCGAACGGGUGAGUAAUAUAUCGGAACGUGCCCAGUCGUGGGGGAUAACGUAGCGAAAGCUACGCUAAUACCGCAUACGAUCUAUGGAUGAAAGCGGGGGAUCGCAAGACCUCGCGCGAUUGGAGCGGCCGAUAUCAGAUUAGGUAGUUGGUGAGGUAAAGGCUCACCAAGCCGACGAUCUGUAGCUGGUCUGAGAGGACGACCAGCCACACUGGGACUGAGACACGGCCCAGACUCCUACGGGAGGCAGCAGUGGGGAAUUUUGGACAAUGGGCGCAAGCCUGAUCCAGCAAUGCCGCGUGCAGGAUGAAG